CAGUAGCCGCGGGAAUACGGAGGGUGCAAGCGUUAUCCGGAUUUAUUGGGUUUAAAGGGUCCGUAGGCGGAUCUGUAAGUCAGUGGUGAAAUCUCACAGCUUAACUGUGAAACUGCCAUUGAUACUGCAGGUCUUGAGUAAAUUUGAAGUGGCUGGAAUAAGUAGUGUAGCGGUGAAAUGCAUAGAUAUUACUUAGAACACCAAUUGCGAAGGCAGGUCACUAAGAUUUAACUGACGCUGAUGGACGAAAGCGUGGGGAGCGAACAGGAUUAGAUACCCGGGUAGUCCCUGUCUCUUAUAA
rnacentral:rRNA from 1 species